UCAUCCUGUGAUCAAUUCAACAGUGACUUUAUCUACGAAGUCUCUCCCUAUAUUCCAAGCUGUAUUUCGGUUCCCUGCUGUAAGGUCUACAUUUUAUUCUCUUCUUAUUUAUUUCAGUUUAUAAUUAUACCACUUUACAAAGAUAUUUAAUAUUAUUAUUAUCAUUUCAGGUGGCUCUGUCUUCUUCCACUAGAAAACAUGUUCCAUGAAGAUGGGAAGCAUUUGGCUUUGGUUCAUUGUUUUAUAUCCAUGGGUUAUAUAGUUGAUAUUUAGUAAAUAUUUGUUGAAUGAAUUCAUGAAUGAAAACUGAGAGUUGAUAGGAAGAAUAUAUUCAAGUCUAAAGGAUCAGAGUUAAUAGAGUUGUUUCGGGAGAAACUCUUCAGAAUACUGUGAUGAACAGGAGUCUUUUAAGAAGGUGGAAAUUAUUAGAAUGUUAAGAAGGUCAGAGCACUGGGAGACUAAUGUUGAACAAGCUACCUGUGUGAAUGAAUAUUCCAGUUUCAUAGGAUCAUGAAGGCUCAGGGAAUGGAAAAGCAAGACUACAGAGUUAAUGCAUGAAGUAACAAGUGAAUAGAUAGAAAAUGUCAUGAAGAGGCAAUAGAGCAUCCUCUAGGUGACUGGCUGUGUCCUGAAGAAAUAAUGAUUUAUAUAGGGGAAAAGAAGUGGCCUUGAGGUCUUAGGAGAAUGGUAAGCCUGAUUCAGACCCUAUGGUGUUGCAGAGUGUGUAGUUAAGAGCCUCUACUCAAAAGAGCUGCAAGCACAUGAUGACUUGCCCUGUAGGGCACACGGCCCAGUGUAUAGGCCUCAGGGUGAGUGAGCAUCAUGACCACUAGGCUGGAAAGGGUCAGACUAGCCUGUGAGCUGAAAAAGGCUAUGGAGAUUGAGUUUGACAUUGGGAAAAAAGGUCAGAUCUUACUCCAUUCCUGCUUGUUCAAAAUAUUUUCAGCUUAGGGUUAGGCAACUUCUUUAAAGCAAAUUCCAUGUAUGAAAAGCUUCAGCUCUAAUCCUAAUGGAAAGUCCUUCUGGAACUUUAUGGACCUAAAGGGAUUUAUCAGUCUUGUGAGUGAUAAGAUCCUUCUGUUUAAUAUAUAAAUCGCCUCUGCUGCAGAUAAAAUGGGAAAAUGAGCCUCCUCAUCUGUUAAAGGGCCCGUUCAAGUUUGCAUUAUGGAUAUUGCUCGACCAGUGGGAAUCUGUGUAGAACACUGAAUCCAGAAGCAUUAUGACGCAUAAACCACUCAGCAUCCAGAAGCAUUAUGAUGCAUAAACCAUCAGGAGAUGGUUAAAUACCACUGCCUGCACUGGAGCAGAAAAGCAUGACUCUCAUCUCUUAAAGAAGACAAUGAGCCCAGAGAAGCCAACAUAUUUCUGUAGAAGACUUGUGAGCCCUCUCUGAAUGGCAGGCGUCUCAUUUGCUGUCUGCAUGCAUCAAGGAUCAUCAUGAAACCACCGAGUCAGCUUAGCAUGCAAAAGUGACCUGCCUACCACUUGUCAGGAAGGAUUUUCAAAUUGAAGAACAACGUUCUGAAGAUUGUUGAUGCAGAUCUAGGACUUUGAAGUGGAAUCCCCACCACACAGAAACAUAUUUUUUCUAACCCUUGGACAUGGGGUUCCUCUUUUUAUUUGAAAUCCUAUUCUUAAAAAAAAAAAAAAAAAAGAAAUCAUAUUCUUGAUUGUGAAAAAGGAUAUGAAUUUGGACACUUUAGUCUU